ensembl:lncRNA
CCGCGGUCAUUAAAGCUCAUAGAAAGUACCGAAUGCUGCUGUGCUGCUCAGGCCUCCCCCGUGCAGCAGGAACGGGGCCGGCAGCCCCAGCGCUGACCCCAAACACGUUUACGGGGGGACAAGCAGGGAGCCGACCCAGCACAGACCCCGCGACAACACGGUCUUAAAAACAAACAACUAAUUAUUUCCAUUCACCUCAUUUAAUUUGGGCUCAUAGAGAAAUCCUGUUCAUCCAAUAGUCCAAAAUAUGUCACGUAUUAGGAGCUAGAGAGUCCAACCCAAUGAAUGAGUCAUCACCCAGUGGAUGAAAUCCCAUCUCUUCAUGGCUGCUCAUAAAUAAGACGAGCUCAACUUUAUAGUAAGUCAUAAGUAAACAAUGAACUAUACGAAAAUCAGAGUCAGCUGUGCUGUAACUGCAUGGGCACCGUGCCCACGCCGAAAUGAGAAGUGAAUGCGAUACCAUCGCUGUCUGCGCUGGAGGCCGAACACGGGGCCACAGCCCAGCGGGGCCGUGAUGCGCAGGGAAGGGUGAGCGCCUGGACCUGGUGGGGUGAUGGAGCUGCCCAGCUUCGGACCCCUCCUGCUCCUCCCCUGGGGCUUCCUGCUUUCCUGGAGUGGCCCUUGAAGGCUUCCAUGUCCCCGUGGGCGAUGUGCUGCUGUCACCAGACCCUGCCCCGCUCCCCUUCAGCACAGCCGAGCAGGCCAGACCACCAUCCCACGGCCACGGGGCCAGGACGGUAGCUGCUGUGGGAAGGGGAGACAGACCAAAAGACCUUUUCCCUGGGAGCACAAGGCUCUGCCGUGCCAAAAUACACAGGGACACACUGCCUCACAGCUGUCCCUGCAGAGCUGGGGCAGGGCAGGGCAUCCUUCCUGCAUCCAUCUCCGUGGAUGUAGGGGGAGAAGGCGGUGCAGAAACCCUCCAGAGGUACAGGCCUGGCUGCACGAGCUUCACUGCAGCACGUGGGUGCAGCAUCUCACACCCAGCCCUCCUCCCACGCCCCGGCCCCACUGCCAGCCCUGUGGGCAGUGCAUUCUGUUCCAGCCCUGCUACAGCCAGGACAGGCCAAGUGCAGGCAGAACUCGGCCCCAUCGCUGCUCCCCGUGCCAUUUCCCCAUUGGAAAAUGGUAGUACUUUUUAACGACGUUGUGGAUUGAUGGGUGAUUCCCAGGAAGGAAAUAAUGCACAGCUUGCAUCAGUGCAGUGUUACUUCUCGUCAAACGGUCUUCCCAGCCCUCCAGAAGAAAUGGAACUUCAUGUUUUCCAUUGGAACUGUCUUUGUCGCCCCACGCACUGCUGCGUCCCGUGUAAAUUCCGGUGUUCCUUGGAGGAGAAAGGCCUCAUGGUGCCGCUCUCCUGGAACCGCACAUCUCUGGGUCCCUCACUCAGCAUGUUUAGAAUUAAAUCAGAAAACCUUAACUCACCCUCUAAUGAUCUGUUUGUUUCCAGAUCCAUAUUCCCACCACGUGCUGCUGACAGCAGCUGGGCUCGGUGACAGCGGCGCUUUUCCCAGCCACGGCCAUGGGAUGUGUGCUGUGUUACGGGGCAGGGCACAGCCGUGCGAGCUGUCACCAGCAACGCAGUGGGAAGGCCGAGCAUGGUUUAUUUAGCACACACUCAAUGCUUAUGCUAAGUGCUCUUUGUUCUGAGCAUUAUCACUUCAGCCUCCAGCUUUUCACAAUGGGAACAGCAAUAAGGUUGGGUCCAGUUCUGAAAGGGUCUUCAAAUUUGGCGUUGCUAUGAAGCGGAGGCAGACCGCAGCACGUGGAGCUCUCAAAGGCUCACGUUGGCUUUUGGAGGAGCUCAUCACUCCUGGAGCAAUGCUGACUCGUUCCCCGUGAUGCAGCAGAAUAAAUCAAACGGGGGGAGCAGGGCUCUGCACUGCCAUAAGUCAGAGCCUCACUUCUGGCCAGGAACACAACGUGGGCUUUGGGAUCUGGCAGCCAAGGGCAGCCAGAGCUCUUCUGCCCAAACUGUGGUGACUGCAGUCCCACACACCCCGCACAGAACCUACCGCAGAGCAGCCUUCAGG